GCAGUGUAGCUACUGGAGUGAGGGCAUGGAAGCUGGCCUGGGCAGCUGAUGCAGACUAGGCAGGGCAGACAGCUCCGCAGCAGGGCCACAGGACUCCCAGCCUGAAGCCGAGCUCCUACGGUCUUCCUUGGGACAGAUCAAUAUCAACCUUGUGACAGGCAACAUGUCUCCUUGGGGAGUUGUCUUCUGUCCCCUCAGCCUAAGCCCAGUGGCUGUGAUUGAAGGUUGAAAAGGCGCGUUCUCCCGAGGACAAGUCCCAGGAUGAAGCAGGAUGGAUCCAUGACGUAUGUCUGUGCUUUAGGAAGGAAAGCACCAGGAAAAGCGGCCAUGAAAGAAUCUGCAGGAUGGACAUCAUUGGAGCCCACUCCAGGAGUGCUGAAACCCACAGAAGGAUCCAGGGCCAGGAAGACAAUCUCUACAAGCAAGGCCAUGUGUGGGGGGUGUCCAGCAAUCCCAUGUGAACCUGAGCGGGUCACCAUGCAUAAGCCUUCAAGUCACGUGGAGGUCAACAGUCAUCUCAGCGAUCACCAACUCUACAGCAGUCUUUCACCCACUGCCAACCCAAAUCUGCCAGUCUAAAGAGGUGAAGCUUAUCCCCCAAGGAUAUCCCUGCUGCAACUGUACUGGCAUGAUUCCACAGGAGCUGGGUGGCCAAGGCCAGAAGAGUACCAGAGAGGCAUGUGACCACCCUCAAGGUGCUUCCUGGUUCCCAAGGUGUCAUGGGAUUGACAUCAUGUUCCAAUGGCUGUAUCCAAUAGCAGGGAUAGGUGCCAGGAACCAUUUGGUUGUUGUUUUUGAGACAGGGUCUCUCACUGGCUUGGAGUCACCAAGUAGCUAGGCUGGCUGGCCAGUGACCCACAGAGAUCCACCUGCUUCUGCUUGAACUCCAACAUUAGGGGUCUGCAGCCCUGGAUCUUCCCUAGAUGACAAAGUGUGUGCUUGUGUGUUGACCCUGGCUCUCCUUGUUGGUCAAAGCCACAUGAAAAUGGUAACUUGCUGUCUAUGGCAGAGCAGAGCAUCAUUUACUGGAUAGAGUCAGCAUAUACAAGCUGCAUCUCAGCUCCCAAAUGAGGACAGCCCCGAGGUUUACAAGGCCAUUGUCAAGGAGAACAUUUAGUCUCUGACUCUGCUGGCACCAGCCUGAAGAUCCAGCUGUCCCCACGGAGCGUGCAGCCUUCCUAAAGAUCCGUCAUCCUCCUGUCUCCGGGAAGCUGUGGGGUAAGGAUGCACAAGUCAGCUUGUUUUCAUGUUUACUUCCGGCUGGAUAGCAUUUCACGGCUACCGGUUUGUGCCACCAGAAAGUGUCAACCUUGAAGAACUGCUUCCUCAGCGCCCUUGAAGAGCAGAUGAAGGAGUCUGGCUCUCAAGCAGCCUGAGUUUAAGACCCCGUCACCUUCCUACGACCCUUGAGAGUUCCUUGCUGUGAGGUCAAAGAAGAGACUGACUCUCCUCUCUCCACUGUCUACAUAGUUCAGAGCUAGAAUAGCACAGGAGAGAUGCCCAGGUGUCACUAAAUACUUCCUACUUAAAGGACCUCGCCCUGUCCGUCAGGACCUCAUCUCUAAGCUUCACUCACUUCCGGAAUGCAGUUCUUACUCUGGUCUCUUCGCAUCCAGAGUGUGUGGUGAAUCAAUGAAUAAAUGAAUGAACAAGGGCUCCAUCUGGAUUGUUGGAGCCAUUGCCUGGGGGAAGUAAAGGACUGAUCAGGACCCUCCUGGUUAAGGUUUCUCUGGAGUGAAGCAUCCUGAAGCCAGUGAAGGUGUGGGAACAAUAAAUCCCCUGCUGUUGGCUUCCCCUGACAUAUCCACAUCAAGAUUUUCCAGCCUGUGACUGACUCACAUGAGGAACCCCGAGAGACCCGGGCUGAUUGCCGUGUGUCACCUCCUCAGCUAUCAUCCCUCAUGCUCUCUCACAAAGGAGUACAUUGAGCUCACUGUCACAAUGUUUUAGGAUGUGGCAGCAAUUAAAAGCCACCGCUGGUGCUUCCUCAGACAAGGCUUCUGCUGGGAGCUACAGCAACAGAUGCGCCCUACCUCCCUGGGCUUCACAUGCCCGUGUGCACCCCACCUGCCCACAGUCCUCGCUCUCUUGCACACUUGCCUCUUUAGCUCUCUUGUACACUUUCAUUUUCUUGGCCAUCCUUCAAAAUUGUGCAAUCUAUCAGGCCCUUAUCUGAGACAUGAGGGUAACAACAUCACGCACACACACACACACACAAAUAACUACUGUUCCAAUCUCUGGUUAUUUUUCAUUCUUUCCUGGAUGGACUUGAUCUGAGCAGAUCACUUGGAGUUGGGUAGAUUUGUGAGUCUGCCACCUGACAUGUUCAAUAAAACUUCUGAACCCCUCACUGUCUACAGCCUGAGAGUACCAAUAAAAGAUGCUCAGCUGUGGGAAGCCACAUGUGCCGUUGCAGAGUGGCACUGACUACUGCUGGCCACCACGCAUAAGAUUGGACAAACAACCAAUGUGUACAUAUGCAGUAAAGUUUUUUGCAAAGACACUGCCUGGCCCAGGCAUGAUAAUGAGGUUCUGUAAGGUACUGAGAGUAUAACCAAUCAGAUGUGAGACAUGCAAAUGAGGUAUGAUAAUGAGGUUCUGUAAGGUACUGAGAGAAAGUAGCCAAUCAGAUGAGGAACAUGCAAAUGAGGCUUAGUGCAUAACCAAUCCGGGUGUGAGACACGCCCCUCCUAGGCCUAUAAAAGCAGCACCAGUUCUGGGCUCGAAGUCUUUUCGCCUCUACAAUCAAGCUCUCCCAAUAAACGUGUGUAGAAGGAUCCUGUUGCAGCGUCGUUCUUCCUGGCCAGUCGAGCGCGCGCAAGACUCAGCAAUAGAAACGUUUAUACCUGCCAACCAGCCAACACCAUCCCUUCCAAAACCUCCUAGGUGUUCUGGGCAGAAAGGGUCCCCACCAACCUUCAGUUCAGUAUGUCUGGAGUCUUAAGUUGGCUCCUUCCGGAGGAUUCCCCGAAAGAGAAUUGGACAUUGUUCCUGGCCUUGGCUCUGUAGAAGCCUCUUUCCUUUAGGAGAGCUUUGUUCUUCUGGUCUGCAGAAUGACACUCCCAGUCAUGAGCAGAAGCUGGGUGGGUGCCCUUCAAGCCAGAGGACCCACUGUCCAGUGGCCAAGCACCUGACAAAGGCAGUUUACAGAUGGAAGUGUUUAUGUGGGCUCACAAUUUGAGGGUCUGUCCCACCCUGGUGGAGACACUUUGUAUCUAUGGUCAGGAAGUAGAGAGGGAUGAACGCUGGUACCCAGCUCAUCUCUUCCUCUUAUUCAGCCCAGCAUUCUGACCCACAGGAUGCUAUUCUUACACUCAGUGUGCAUUUUCUAAUCUCAGUUAACCUAAUCUACAAACUCUUUCCCAGGCACACUUACAAGUUUGUCUCUUCAGUGAUUCUAGGUCUUGCCAUUGGGUUAAUUGAAGAUAUUAACCCACUGUGAUGUGUAGGUAGAUCUGAGUGCACAUAAUCCCCACCAUGGUCACUUUUUUCUCCCACACCCCACCAGAAAGUGUGCUCUGAGCUUGGAUAUUUGCAAAACACUGGAGAGAAGUUGGUGUCUCUGAUGAAGGCUAUCAACCCUCAUCCCUGAAGUUGCUCAUAUUCAAAGGUCCCACUUUCAUAGCAUAAAAGACUGCUCUUACAAAAGCCUCAUUUGCCCAGACUGGAAAGCAAGCCUUGCAAACUGCCCUGCACGUUGCUGUGUGUUGGACAGUUUUCAACACCUCCACCAUCUGUUGGCUGAGUUACAUCCGCUAAACUGUAUGUUGUAAAAAGAUGGGGACAGGACUGAAGUUGCAUGGCAACUGGAAAACCUGCUGAAGAGGAAUGGCCAGUCCUGCCUCAUAGCCUGCUGCCACCCAGCCUGGAGAACUGAAUUCUAGAGGCUAGACUUCUUUUGUUUGUACCAGGACUUGCUGUUUCAGGAAACCUGAUGGUAUGUGGUUUCUAUGAAGUCAGCUCCCUUUUUCUGUUUUUACAAAUGAGCUUAAAAAAUAAAAUCAAGGCAUGAUUUCAUAC